CUUGCCCUCUCUCUAGCCCAACUACCCAUACUCCCCACUAUUACCAAAAAUCCACUACCACACUCAAACCAAAACAUUAUACCUCUCCCCCAGUAUAGGCGAUAGAAAAGACCUCUGGCGCAAUAGAGACCAACCGUACCGUAAGGGAAAGAUGAAAUAACAAUGAAAACUGCAAGCAAAAGACAGUAAAGACUAACCCUUGUACCUCUUGCAUCAUGAUUUAGCAAGAACAACCAAGCAAAGCGAACUAAAGUUUGCCCCCCCGAAACCCAAGCGAGCUACCUGCAAGCAGCUAAAAUUGAGCGAACCCAUCUCUGUUGCAAAAGAGUGGGACGACUUGUUGGUAGAGGUGAAAAGCCAACCGAGCUGGGUGAUAGCUGGUUACCUGCCAAAUGAAUCUAAGUUCCCCCUUAACCCAUCCCCUAAGGACAACUACCCAACCCAUACAUGUUAAGGUUAAGAGCAACUCGAUGGGGGUACAGCCCCCUCGAAAAAGAAUACAACCUCCCCCAGCGGAUAAUAAUCUUCCCCUUCCCUAUAGUGGGCCUUAAAGCAGCCACCAACAAAAGAGUGCGUCAAAGCUCCACCACUAAAAAUCUACAACCCCAUUUGACUCCCUCACCCCAAGCAGGUCAACCUAUGACAAUAGGAGAAUUAAUGCUAAAAUGAGUAACUCGGAGCCUUCCUCACAGCGUAAACUUACAUCAACACAUUAUUAACAAAACCCAACUUAUACCCCAACUUUAACAAGAACAUGUAUUCAACCCAACCUGUUAAGCCAACUCAGGAACGCCCAUACAGAUGAUUAAAACCUGCAAAAGGAACUCGGCAAACCAAAGACCCGACUGUUUACCAAAAACAUAGCCUUCAGCAAACAACAAGUAUUGAAGGUGAUGCCUGCCCAGUGACCCUUAAAGUUCAACGGCCGCGGUAUCCUAACCGUGCAAAGGUAGCGCAAUCAAUUGUCCCAUAAAUUGAGACUUGUAUGAAUGGCCAAACGAGGUCUUAACUGUCUCCUGCAGGCAAUCAGUGAAAUUAGUAUUCCCGUGCAAAAACGAGAAUGUGCCCAUAAGACGAGAAGACCCUGUGGAACUUAAAAAUAACGACCACCCCUUCAACCAACACUAUCCACUGGACCCACCUACACAACCCCUUUGGUCGACAUUUUUCGGUUGGGGCGACCUUGGAGAAAAACAAAUCCUCCAAACCUAUAGACCACAACUCUUCACCAAGACCAACCCAUCAAAGUACUAAUAGUAAUUUAGACCCAAUACAAUUGAUCAAUGAACCAAGCUACCCCAGGGAUAACAGCGCAAUCUCCUCCAAGAGCCCAUAUCGACAAGGAGGUUUACGACCUCGAUGUUGGAUCAGGACAACCUAAUGGUGCAGCCGCUAUUAAGGGUUCGUUUGUUCAACGAUUAACAGUCCUACGUGAUCUGAGUUCAGACCGGAGCAAUCCAGGUCGGUUUCUAUCUAUGAACUGACUCCUCCUAGUACGAAAGGACCGGAGAAGUGGGGUCAAUACCUCAAAGCACACCCCAGCCCUAUAAGCAAUGAACUCAACUCAAUUGCCAAAAGCCUAACACAUCACACCUAACUCCUAGAAAAGGAUAACA
rnacentral:rRNA from 1 species